UAGGGAAUAUUGCGCAAUGGGCGAAUGCCUGACGCAGCAAUGCCACGUGAGUGAGGAAGGCCUUAGGGUUGUAAAGCUCUGUCUACAGGGAAGAAGGGGUUUGUAUUAAUAGUGCAAAUCAUUGACGGUACCUGUAAAGAAAGCACCGGCUAACUUCGUGCCAGCAGCCGCGGUAAUACGAAGGGUGCAAGCGUUGUUCGGAUUUAUUGGGCGUAAAGCGCGCGCAGGCGGAUUGAUAAGUCAGGUGUGAAAUCCCGGGGCCUAACCUCGGAACUGCGCCUGAAACUGUUGAUCUAGGAUCCUAGAGAGGGAAGGAGAAUUUCACGUGUAGGAGUAAAAUCCGUAGAGAU
rnacentral:rRNA from 1 species